AGAGUUUGAUCCUGGCUCAGAUUGAACGCUGGCGGCAUGCCUUACACAUGCAAGUCGAACGGUAACGCGGGGCAACCUGGCGACGAGUGGCGAACGGGUGAGUAAUGUAUCGGAACGUGCCCAGUUGUGGGGGAUAACUGCUCGAAAGAGCAGCUAAUACCGCACACGACCUGAGGGUGAAAGCGGGGGAUCGCAAGACCUCGCGCAAUUGGAGCGGCCGAUAUC
rnacentral:rRNA from 1 species